UGUUUCCUAGGAAUAAGGUUCUAUUUGUACUUCUAGAAUAGCUUCUUCUUUCUGUAACAUUCUGUUAAGAUGUGUCCAGAUCUCCUAAAGCCACAGAAUCCCAGAGACUCAAAGUAAACUUUCUCUUUGGCAAAUCAGAAGGCUCCGCAUAAAUAGAUCCAAUGUUAAACAUUUACCUGCACACAUUGGCCUCAGCUUCAUUAUUGUUAAAAUGAGCUAGAUGCUAUUUUCCAGCAGCUCACACUCCAAUUCCAAUCGACCUGACCAGCAGAAGAGACAAAAAGGGAAAAUCCUGGCCGGGUCUCCCCUAUAUGAUCUACCAGUAACAUCAUCAGGUUUGCAAGACCUCAAGAAAAUAAACCUGAAAAUACCUCUGGAGGUGUGUGUCUUGCCAAUGAAAACAGAAUCAGAAACAAAACCUGCACAAUCAGGACAAAGAAACAAAGAACAGGGGUCUCAGCUGUGAACCUUAUGAUGGAUGAGAAAAAGAUUCUUUUUUUCCCCUUACAGUUUCUGGCAGGCAACAUGGAGUGGCUGAGAUUCCCCACUAGUUCCAGAACCUGCAGAUGAGAUCCUGGGACAACUAAUAAAACACAACAAAAGUUAA